CUCAAAACAAUAGUUUUAUUGUUCUUAUUGAUGUUUAAAGUCAUAGACUGCGGUUUCAAUUGCUAUUCUCCUUUUCAUUUCAAAUGCAUUUCGCGAAAACGCCUCAAAAUACCUAAAAUACCUAAAAGACAAUGAAUCUUAAUACUCUUAAAG
rnacentral:misc_RNA from 1 species